rnacentral:lncRNA from 1 species
CUGGGCAAUUGGUGUCAUCAGAAUCCCAGACUGAGCUCAGAGGCAGGGCCAGAAAAUUCGAGGAGACACUGAGGGGCGGUAUAAGGCUGUACCCCAUGGCUCUUGUGGACGGGAAUAAGAAACAGCAGGAGAGUAUAGCGGAAGUAAUCUUCCAUGAAUUCCACAUCUGCAAAGAAAUAAAUUCUGUCAACAACCUGAAUAGGAGUUUGAAAGCAGAUUCUUCUCCAGUUGAGCCUCUGAUGAGACCUCAGUCCUGGCCAACACAUGGAUUACAGCCCAAUGAGACCCUGAAGCUAGGAACCAGAUUAGCUUUGCUCAGAUUUUUAACCUAGAGAAACUGUGAGAUAAUAA